rnacentral:rRNA from 1 species
UAAGGAAUAUUGGUCAAUGGACGCAAGUCUGAACCAGCCAUGCCGCGUGAAGGAUGAAGGUCCUCUGGAUUGUAAACUUCUUUUAUCUGGGACGAAAACGGGAUUUUUAUCUCAGUUGACGGUACCAGAGGAAUAAGCACCGGCUAACUCCGUGCCAGCAGCCGCGGUAAUACGGAGGGUGCGAGCGUUAUCCGGAUUUACUGGGUUUAAAGGGUGCGUAGGUGGGCUUAUAAGUCAGUGGUGAAAUCUCCGAGCUUAACUUGGAAACUGCCGUUGAUACUAUAGGUCGUGAAUUAUCUGGAGGUAAGCGGAAUAUGUCAUGUAGCGGUGAAAUGCUUAGAUAUGACAUAGAACACCAAUUGCGAAGGCAGCUUACUACAUAUAAAUUGACGCUGAGGCACGAAAGCGUGGGGAUCAAACA